UCCACUUUGUAUAAAAAGCAAGCAAUUAUUGUUGCUGUUUUCAUGUGGCUAUUGCCUUGCUAUUCAUCAUCCUGGCCAGUGGUUAGCAUCCUGUCUAUUUGAGCGGAAACGGAUUUCUUUCAGCACAUUUUCCUCAGUUUUCAAGCUCUGCAGCAUGGAUUGAAAUGCAAAGCAGGCUUGAGCUAAUUUCCUUAAACCAUCGUCACAAAAUCGCAAUGCCCAGGGGGAUACUGUCUUGAAUGCAGUCCUUACUGACAGAUGGAAGAUUCCUUCCUUAAAGCUUGUAAGCUCAAGGCUGACAAGAGACCUUUGGGGAACAAUACUAUUUCUUUCUAAGGCAGUACCAGCUACAGGUCAAUUGUCAUACUAACUAAAAACAAACAAAGAAAACA